rnacentral:misc_RNA from 1 species
GCAUUUGUAAACGUACUGUUAGUGCUAUUCACGAAACCUCUCUCUCUCUUUCUAGAUUGAGGAAGGGCCUCUCUAGUGAUAAGCAUCCUCCCUUUCUGUUUGGAUGCCGACAAUUUACUUUCUCUUUGUGUAUAGGGACGUCUUGAUUCAGUUCUUUCUUCAUUAUUGUUGUUUCUGUUCAUAUGUGUUGAAUGUUGCCAAUUUUAGCUGUCAAUUGGGUUCUUUAUCUGCCUCCAGUUUUAUGCCAGUUCAAUUGCUUGCCUUUUGUUUUUAUUAAUUUCAUGACCUUGUUUUUAGCUUUUUUUGAACUGUAAUUUCAUACACGUUCUAUGAUAUGAACUGCAGCACAUACAGAUAAUAAGCCUAUGGAAAGUUGGUUCAUAACCCAAAAAUGGACAAUUUCACUGUUGAUUAGAGCUGUGACUAUCAAUUUCCAUAUUGGCUUGGACAAAAUGUUUUGGGCAAGAUAAAAGAGACUCUGUAAUGUAAUAAUUUCCCGCAGGAUUUGUUAUUUUUAUGUUGAUCAUAUGACUUUCUUCUGCCCUGUAUCAGAUUUGGGGAUAUAUGGAAGAAGGAUUAUAGGAAAAGAGGAGCCAAUUACCUCCGAGAAAGAAAUUUUCAGUCUUUCGGGGCCUGUGCAUCUCGCUUCUGUCGACUGGAAUAAUUUUCAUCAUCGAACAUCCAUUGCUGCAAGCUUGGUUAAGGGAGUAUACAUUCUAGAACAUGACCGUCAACAGAAUCGCCAAGGCCCUCAAUCUCUUGCUCCGCCUUGGUGGCAAUUCUUCCAUUUUCAAUUGAAUCAUCUUCUUAUAGAUGUUGAUGGCUCCAUCUUUGGUGCCGUAUAUGAAUUCAAGUACUUCGCUUUUCAUUCUGCCCAAAAUGCCCCAAGAUUUGUUGUUGCCUUUCGGGGCACGAUCAAAAAGCGAGGGUCUAUUUUACGGGAUUUUGAACUGGAUCUCCUUUGCCUAUGCAACGAACUUCAUCGAAGCUCCCGCUUCCAGCUUGCAGAGCAAGCUCUCCAGAAUAUCGUUGCUUUAGCUGGAGCAACAAAUGUUUGGUUAGCAGGACAUUCUUCGGGGUCGGCUAUUGCGUUACUCGGAGGAAAGAAAAUGGCCACGAUGGGUAUUCCUAUUGAAAGUUACUUGUUCAAUCCACCACUCCUCUUUUCCCCAAUAGAAAGAAUCAAGAAUCAAAAGCUGAAGCAUGGAAUCCACUUCACAAGCAGCAUGGUAAAAGCAGGACUUGCUGUUGCUCUAAAGGGUAACCGCCAGCGGUCUCAGCUAGAAGAUCCAUUUGUUGCAUUAUCUACCUGGCUUCCUUACUUGUUUGUAAAUCCAGCUGAUCCUAUUUGCUCAAAGUAUAUUGGGUAUUUUGUGCAAAAGAACGGGAUGGAGGGGACUGGAACUGGAAAAUUUGAGAGACUAUUGGCUGCUGGGAGUAAGCUUUUAGGUGCACCAGGAAGGGAUUCAGAACCAUCGCAUCUAAUUCCUUCAGCAUAUCUGACUGUUAAUCUUAGUGAAUCUCCAAGUUUUAAACAAGCUCAUGGAAUUCACCAGUGGUGGAAUCCUAAUUUAAAAUUUCAAAGCGAACUGCACAAGUUCCGCUAAUGCAUUGGAGCUUUUAACAUGGAAUACUAAUAGUAGAUCUGAUGCACUGUUUAGUUGAAACCUCUGAAAAUAAUUCUUUACUUUCUGUAUAAAUCAAACAUUCAAUUGAAGGAUUCAGCAACUUUCCUUCCUAGAGUAAUUCCCACCAAGGUGGAGCAUGAGCUUGAGCUAAUCAAGCUCAACCAUUGGGACAUG